AGUACCGAGUCAAGUGUGAGGAAUUGACACCAAACCAUAGGCUUUUGGUCCUGGCACCAUAUCCGACACCAGUUGGUCUGAAAGACCAGGUCAAUGUGUGGAGGAAGCAGAAUAGAAAUGUUUCUAUGGUCAUGUUUGAUCAGCGGAACGUAAUGGAUAAGGAGCUUGAAAAUAUACCGGAUAUGCCAUUUAGUUUGCUGCAUAAUGGGGUCUGGGGAAGUGAGUACUACUUGCCUGUGUCCGAUUCGGUUCCAACUAAAAAUACAGUGGCGUUACGUUGCUCCCAACUGGGAGACCUCAACUCGCUAAGCUGGGCAGAAGUCAGCGAACCAGUGGAAAAGCGCGGAGUUGAUGUUACGGUACACUAUGCUGGACUCACCGCUAUGGAUGCAUCGAAAGCACUUGCAGAAACACCAGAAGGAUUGGUAAAAGAAGGAUUUGGAAUGGACUUCAGUGGAGUUACUGCAAGGGGUGAGCGAGUAAUGGGAUUGUUACCAAGAGGAGCAGCUUCUAAUAAAGUGCGUGUCGAUCCUAACAUGUUGUGGCCUGUACCAUCCCACUGGACUUUGGAAGACGCUGCCACUGUUCCGUAUGCCUACGCGCAUGCUAUUUAU